rnacentral:tRNA from 1 species
AGAAAUUUAGGUUAAACUAAACCAAGGCCUUCAAAGCCCUAAAAGGGAGUACGAGACCCCCAAUUUCUG